rnacentral:rRNA from 1 species
AGACCUCUGAUCAGAAAAGACUACCCGCUGAGUUUAAGCAUAUCACUAAGCGGAGGAGAAGAAACUAACCAGGAUUUCCCUAAUAACGGCAGACGAACCGGAAAAAGCCCAGCU